GUCAGGACGGCCGAGUGGUCUAAGGCGCCAGACUCAAGUUCUGGUCUCCAUAUGGAGGCGUGGGUUCAAAUCCCACUUCUGACA
rnacentral:tRNA from 1 species